CCAAAGGAACCAUAGGUGGGUUUUGGCAAAGGAGGUUUGGGUUUAUUGUUGCUCCUCAGUUUUCGUUGUAUGGUUGCACUGAGGUUCAAGUUAAGUAGAGAGGAAAUACCAUAAUUUUCGAUGGUAGUUAGCUUUGGUCUUCACCAUAUGUGGUAUUAGAUCCUGCACAUCCUUUCACCUGUGGGCUGCCUUGCUGCUUUAGUGGAGGCAUUUCUACCGGAUUGGGGUGUAAGUCAGCAGCCGGAGAUGCAUAUUUUCUCUUCAGUUGUCAUAUGAAACCUCAGUUAUUUUCUGAUCACCCUACACAGGAAAAUCRUCCCUCCUUCCUUUGCAACUCCUGAGGGCGGAUGGGGGUAGAGCAGCUGUCCCUGUUAUUCCAAAGUGGUGGUGACUGCACAGAUCAAACCGCAAGCGUUCAUUUGGAAGACGGGGUUGGAGCUGCAAGAAGCAGAUCAAAUUCCCUGGAAAAAAUUAGCUUCGCCAAGAGAAGUCUGUAAACAUGAUCCAAAGAUAACUCCAGGAGCACAGAAAAGGCAAAAGGAACAGAGCACGUCUGUGUGUUUUCACAUCUUGGAGGCUGAUCCCYGUCGUCGUUUUUAAGACUAAUAUAAAGGGCUGGAGAAGUGCUGGGCAUGGGGCACGUGAGCCGAGGUUGGAGCAGAUGGUGACGCACCAGAUUAGCAGGCCAUAUCCUUCAUUCUUAAGCAGCGCAUAGGAAGGAAAUCUCCCAGACUGAGCACAGCGCCUGUUCUCUGGUCCCAAUUUGCCGUCUCGGAGGAAUGGUGAGGGAGCAUCUUGGAAGCGCUGCAGCAAACAUGUGCAUGUGUUAUUUGUUCUUACAGGUUUGGAGGAAAACUGCAGAACAGAGGAGGCGGGGGAGAGGCAGGGUGUCAACAGCGAAAGAAUAUUAAAUAGCCUCCAGUAAAACAACAGAUGAUUGUGAAUCCACUUCAGGCUCUCAGAAUGUGUAAUGUGCGGCUGCUGCUAAUGUUACCGUAAACUGUGUGUGUUCUGGGAUCUGCCUAUCGACCUAAAUGCGCUGGCUUUGUGGCACGGAGUCUAACAAAAUCAUUCACUCAAU
rnacentral:lncRNA from 1 species